rnacentral:lncRNA from 1 species
UAAUAUUUGCGUGUUGUGCAAUAUUUUUUCGUUCGCAAAGCAUUAUCAAUCAAAAUAACACUCUUUGAAAUGAAUUAUAUUAUAAUUCUAUAACUCUAAUUUCCCUAAUUACUGAUGAUUAAUGGCACACCAUUAAAAUAUGAUUCUGUAGACAUGGCAUUACAUCUAGCCAAAAAGAGAAUCAAAAGACACCAGAGAGACAUUCAAAUUCGUAAGUCGAAAAUAAACUAACAACGCCAUGGCUUAAACAUGAAAAAGAAGAGAUCAACAGACAAACAAUAGUACA